UGAUCUUAAAGGGACCUAUGCUAGUUUUGUAAAUUCUAGCACAAAAGGAUUUUCAUAUUUUAACACGUCACCUGUGAACGAAAAAAAAGCUGAACAAAAUGAUGAGCAUAUUGGUGCAGAUAGUAAUACGGAGAUAAAUAUUUUAAAAAGAAUCAGCGAGGAUUGUAACACAAUGGUUGAUAGUAUGAAUAUAAUAGAAAAAAAAAAAGUACUAUUUGAUUCUUAUAAAAAAUACUAUUUUAUAGAAAUGACCAAAUACCAUAAAAGUAGAGAAAAUUGUACCAACAAUUUUAUAAAUUUUCUUGAAAGGCUAAUUGAGCAAAUGUUAAAAGAGUUAAAAAACGGAAGUGAUAAUAUAAAUAAUUUAACCAAACUUUUUAAAGAAAUUACAAAAAAUGAUGCAAUUUAUUAUAAAACAUCACUACCAGGAACUGGUAAAAUAAAUAACCUAACUCAUAAUUUUGUACAUUUAAACAAUGAUGAACAAACAAGUAGUCAUGUUUGUGCUACUAAUACGAGUACACAUGAAAAUAAUGUUACCAAAUAUAGGAGUGAAAUUUUUGAAUCGAAAAACAACAAAACAAAAGUGAUUAGCAAUAAAGCAGUAACGUUUGAAAGAUUUUCAACUAAUAAUGAGAUUACUCAUGAAGAGAGUGCGAUGGACUAUAAAGAAACAAUAGAUAAUGAGCAUGAUCAAAGGCAAGAGGAGGAUCACAUGUCCGAAAUGAAUGAAGAUGCUACAACAUGUAACAACCUACUGCAUGAAACAAGCGUAAGAAACAGUGCUGAUUUCAUGAGUAGUAACAAUAGCAAUGAAAUGAACAUUGCAGAAUAUAUAAAUAAUACUACAUUUUUAAAAAACAAUAGUAUGAAUAAGAAUGUUAAUAAAAUACAUAACAUUGCAGAUAGCGUUUUGGACAUAAAUUCGAACAUGUGUAUUUUGAAUCAUAAUAUAAUACAAGAUUGGAUAGAAUAUGGUUACAUAAACUAUAAAAAGCUGAUGUAUACUAUGAAAGAAAAUAGCAAUUUUGUUGAUACUAAAAUAUAUCAAGAAAUGUUAAAUAUAUUAAAAGAAAGCUAUAUAAAAGAGCAAGAAAAUUUACUGGAAAAAAUAAAAAAAAAAAAAUGUGAUUUAUUUAAACAAUUCGAUGUUAGUAAAUUAUAUUGGAAGCAUUUUGAAAAUAGUUACUCGAACUCAGAACGAAUCAGAUCGGAUGGAAUAAAAGAUUCUAAAAAAAUAAAAUGCUCCUGGUUAUGCCAAAGAAAAUAUUUAAAAAUUGUUAAAGAUUUAUUAAAAAUACAAAAUGAAUAUUUAGACAUUGUCUACACUUGCGUUAAAAUUUUUUUUCAAUUAAUAGAAUGGAAAAAAAAUACCAUUAAAGACAUACUCUCAUCUUAUAUACAUUUAUAUAAAGGGUUCUUAAAUUUAUAUUUGAAUAAUAUAAAUAUAUUAUAUGAUUUUAUAUUACAAGAAAAAAAUAUAAAUCCAUCACAUUUUGAUAAUUUACAUAAUAUAUCUAUGAUUAAUGUGGAUGACAUAAUAAAAACUGUUACUCCCUUUUCUUAUAAUGAGUAUAAUACAAACAUACCUAACUUAAACAACUCGUUAAACAUUAUUAACAAUUUUGUUAUAUUUUAUAAUAACGAAAUAAAUAUAAAAUCGAUUUUAUGCUUAUUUUGUGCCCAUAUUAAAGGACAUUUUACGAGUGUAGGUUUUUUUAAUAAAUACAUGGAAGGGAUAUUUGUNNNNNNNNNNUUUUUUAAUAAAUACAUGGAAGGGAUAUUUGUUAUAACAUGGGAUAAGUUUGUUCAUUUUUUUACUGAUGCUGAGGAUGUAACGCCACAAUGGUCUUAUUAUAUGGAAGAUAUAGAAUUUAAAAUUUUAAAAAAUAAAAAUGAUAGUACUAAAAAAAGUGGCAAACAAAAUGAACCCCACAAUGAUUGCCCAGAUGGUGAACCAAGUGGGGCACAAAAUGGUAAUCCUUGCGUUAGCCCAAAUAGUACACAUCAGGAAAAUGAGAAUACAAUAGUAUCUUUUACUGUUCUCAAUGAUGAAAAAGCAAACAUAGAAAAAGAGGCUGUUAAAAAUGGUACUACUAGUGAGGAACCAACUGAUGAUCAUCAGUCUGACAUUAACAAACAAACUAAUAUGAACAAUGAUUAUAAAAAAGACAACGAUAAAAUAAAUAAAUUUCAAAAUAAAAAAGAGGAGUUAUCAGAAUGUACAGAUAAACAACAAAAGAAAGACGAAAAUAACACAAAGAGUAAAAAAGAAAAUAAUCCUGAUUGUGCUCAAGUUUGUCAGUUGAAUAAACAAAGUAAUGAUACGAUAGAAAUACAGAUGAAAGAAAAGAAAAAAACAUUAUUAAUUAGUGGUUGGUCAUUUACGUUCAAAUGUGAUAAUACGUUCUUAACAAAUGUAUGCUAUGAGUUAUUAAAUAAUCAUUUAUAUUCAUCUUAUUUUGUUGACGAAAAUUCGUUUGUUAAUUUUAGUAACAUUAUAUCAAAUGGUCAGGUGAGAAAUGACUUAGAGUGUACUAAGCAAAUAGCUAACACGUACGAUAAAACAUUAGGCGCAAACGUAAACAC
ensembl:lncRNA